rnacentral:lncRNA from 1 species
CUGCCUUCAGCUUAGAAAUUAAAUUGAUCCUAGAUACCAGAUAUUGGUGAAGAACGUUUAUAAGAGUUCUAAGAAGCUUUAUGAUGCAGAAGUAAUCUGCUAUGGAAACAGAAACCCUUGGGAAAUUGGAAUCCCUGCCUUCCCGAGUCCCACUCCCAAAUGGCUUGACCCCAAUGGCUUGAUUUCAUUCCAAGAUCUGAGCAAACAUCAUCAAGUGUCCCCAAAGAAGAGAGCAAGUGAGCACCCAAUGAGAUGGCAGCCACCUACAAAUGAGGAAGAGAGGCC